rnacentral:rRNA from 1 species
UACGUAGGGUGCGAGCGUUAAUCGGAAUUACUGGGCGUAAAGUGUGCGCAGGCGGCAGAGCAAGUCGAGUGUGAAAGCCCCGGGCUUAACUUGGGAACUGCGCUCGAAACUACUUUGCUGGAGUGUGGCAGAGGAAGGUGGAAUUCCACGUGUAGCGGUGAAAUGCGUAGAGAUGUGGAGGAACACCAAUGGCGAAGGCAGCCUUCUGGGCCAACACUGACGCUCAUGCACGAAAGCGUGGGGAGCAAACAGG